AGCAGUGGGGAAUUUUCCCCAACGGGGGACACCCAGAGGGAGGGACUCCGGGUGACCGAAGAAUCCCCUUGGGGUGUAAAGUUUUUUCACUGGGAACGAAAAAAAUGACGGUACCUGCAGAGGAAGCAUCGGCUAACUACGUGCCAGCAGCCGCGGUAAGACGUAGGAUGCGAGCGUUGUUCGGAUUUAUUGGGCGUAAAGAGUUCGUAGGUGGUUUGUCAAGUUUGAUGUUAAAGAUCGGGGCUCAACCCUGGGAAUGCAUUGGAUACUGGCAGACUUGAGUGUGGUAGAGGCUAGUGGAAUUCCCAGUGUAGCGGUGAAAUGCGUAGAUAUUGGGAAGAACACCGGUGGCGUAGGCGGCUUUCUGGCCCAUAACUGACACUGAGGAACGAAAGCCAGGGGAGCGAACGGGAUUAGAUACCCCGGUAGUCCUCGCCGUAAACGAUGAAUACUAGGCGUAUCGGGUAUCGACCCCUUCAGUGCCGCAGCUAACGCGAUAAGUAUUCCGCCUG
rnacentral:rRNA from 1 species